rnacentral:lncRNA from 1 species
CGGGGGUUAGGUAGCUGUAGGUCUUAGAAAUGGCAUCAAAGGUGGCCUUGGUGAAGUUGCCCAGGGUGGCAGUGCAGCCCCGGGCUGAGGUGUAGCAGUCAUCGAUACCAGCCAUCAUGAGCAGCUUCUUAGGCACAGGUGCGGAGACGAUGCCAGUGCCCCUGGGGACAGUGUGGGGCUUGCCGAUCUUGUUCCCCCAGUAGCCUCUGCGCACGGGGACGAUGGAGAGCUUGGCCAGGAUGAUGGCCCCACGGAUGGCGGUGGCCACCUCCUUGGAGCACUUAACACCCAGACCGACGUGGCCGUUGUAGUCCCCGAUAGCAACAAAUGCCUUGAACCUGGUGCGCUGGCCGGCACGGGUCUGCUUCUGCACUGGCAUAAUCUUCAAAACCUCAUCCUUGAGAGAGGCCCCCAGGAAGAAAUCAAUGAUCUCUGAUUCCUUAAUUGGGCAGGGAGAAGAGAUAGAUCUCCUCCAGGGACUUGAUCUUCAUGUCCUUGACCAAGCGGCCCAACUUGGUGACGGGCAUCCACUCCUUAUCCUCGGCCUUGCCUCCGCGAGCUCCGCGGCCUUGGCCCCGGCCCCGUCCACGGCCGCGACCCUGGCCCCGGAUGCCACUGCCGAAACCUCCGCGGAAGCCACCGCGGUUCCCCAUCUCAGGGCCACCAGGGCCUCCGGGCCCCCCCGCUGCACCGGCGUCAUCCGCCAUUUGGUGUUUUGUCGGAAAAGAAGCC